UACGUAGGGGGCGAGCGUUGUCCGGAUUUAUUGGGCGUAAAGAGCGUGUAGGCGGCCAGGUAGGUCUGCUGUGAAAACUCGAGGCUCAACCUCGAGACGUCGGCGGAAACCAUCUGGCUAGAGUCCGGAAGAGGAGAGUGGAAUUCCUGGUGUAGCGGUGAAAUGCGCAGAUAUCAGGAAGAACACCCGUGGCGAAGGCGGCUCUCUGGGACGGUACUGACGCUGAGACGCGAAAGCGUGGGAGC
rnacentral:rRNA from 1 species